rnacentral:misc_RNA from 1 species
UUGAAUAACCAUGAUAGGUUGUUGCUGGCUCUCUUGGGCAUGUGCACACUUGUCAUUUUUGUUUUUCCACCUGUGCACUUUUUGUAGACCCUAGAGAAGUGAUUGUCUCAGAUAGAUUGAGGACUGCUGUGUCUUUCCCAGCUUUGCCUUGUAUCUAGGUUCUAUGUCAUCCACAUACUCCUAUGAAUGUAAUAGAAUGUUGAUGUGGGUCUUUGUACCUAUAAAAAGUUAUAUA